UACGUAGGGAGCAAGCGUUGUCCGGAAUCAUUGGGCGUAAAGCGCGCGUAGGUGGCUUCGUAAGUCCGUUGUGAAAGUCAAAGGCUCAACCUUUGAAAGCCGAUGGAUACUGCGGAGCUAGAGUACGGAAGAGGCGAGUGGAAUUCCUGGUGUAGCGGUGGAAUGCGCAGAUAUCAGGAGGAACACCAAUAGCGAAGGCGGCUCUCUGGGACGGUACUGACGCUGAGACGCGAAAGCGUGGGGAGCGAACAGG
rnacentral:rRNA from 1 species